rnacentral:sRNA from 1 species
GUCUAGCCCAGAUAGAAGCGGUAUCCUUUUUCUGGCUCCUUUAGCCAGGAAAAGAUACAAGCGGAUAGCAGGAACUUGC